rnacentral:lncRNA from 1 species
ACGUCAUAUUAAAUAUUUAUUGUUUUCUGCAAACUGACCUUGGAGUAACACUCAAGCCAGGAGGGGAUUGGUUAGUGUUCAAGUUGCUGAGAUCUUAGGUCAAAAAGCCAUAGAAAAGGGGCACCUGGGUGGCUCAGUCAUGUUCUCUUGGUUCGUGAGUUCAAGCCCUGCAUCGGGUUGCUGCUGUCAGUGCACAGCCCGCUUGGAUCCUCUGUCCCCCCCACCUCUGCCCCUCCCACCUUACACUCUCUCAAAAAUAAAUAUUAAAAGAAAAAAAAAGCUACAAAAAACAAAACACUGGGGGUGGGGCCAGGGGAGAGGAAUCAAUGACUUGGAGGCAGUUUCACCUUGCCACCAAUUCCAAGAGCUGGGGCUUUUGUGACUCAGGACAUGGUGACAAGAGUUGAGUAAACCAGAGACCAAGGCAGUGAAGGUUUUACUGGGGAAAGAAAACUUGGGUGUAUGUGUGUGGGGGAAGGAUGGUGAAUGAAAUAGGGAAAAUGAUAAAGGUGUUUUGGAAGGCUAGGGGGAAGUGGUCCUGGGAACCUGAAAACAAGGAAAUUCAGCUUAUCCUGAUAAGGCAGGGUCCGGGGAAUGAAGGCAGGGUGAGGCAUGUCAAGGACCUGGGAGGCAGAGGGAGAACUGGAAAGGAAACCCCAGGUGAAGAAGAGUCUGGGAUAGGGUACAGAAGUCCAUGGAGAAGGCCAGUGGAUCCCAGGGUCCGAGACAUCAGAAGUUGGGCUUGUGCUUCUUGAGCUCCACCAUUAGAUGAUGAAUGUUGAUGAGCUCAGCCCUGGCAGGGAGAGCUCGGAGCUGGGGCUGAGAGAGCACACGGUGGAACCGAUGAUAGAGCUGGAUCAGCUGGGUCAAAGCUCCCUGGUCAGAGAAAGUCAUGGAAGGAUCAUGUGGGGUGGUGCUAAAGAUGAUGUUAGGAAUCAGGCUAGGGCUCAUCCAGAAUUCUGGGCAUGCUGGUAGUUGAUGAUCAAGGGUCACUUGGAUGAUGCGAGCCCAGGGAAAAGAGAGGGAAAACAACUAGUGACAGGGUGGGGCAAAGUGAGGGCUGGGAGUUGUAAGUCACCUGGAUGAUACUGGUCCCAUUUCUGAAGUUGGUGAAACUCCGCAUUACAUCCUGACUCAGAGACUCCACUGAUGAUUUCCAGGAACUACCAAAGCCACGGAUCAGCUGAGUAACCCGG